GUUCUCUUCUCAGCAACUCUACCUCCUUACCUCUCUUUGACCUCCUUUAAGUCCACAGCCUGGCCCUUGACUUCACGGACCCGUCUUACCUUUCUUCACCUGGAAUGUCCUGCCCUUUCUUGGGGUCUCCUUUACCCCCUCCUCUCUGGUCCCAUCCCUUCUGCUGGCAAGCCCCAGCUUUCCUCCACGGCUCGGCCUGGUCAGCUCGAACCUCAUCUUGUUGGCUCGCCCUGGGCAGGAGGGGACCGUAUGGUGCAAAGUGGGGCCAGAACUACCCCUGGAGUAGACCCCUGCCUUGCCCCCACCGCCCCUCCCAAGCCCUGGUUGCGGCGCUUCCUGGGCGGAUGGUUUGGACUUGCUGCGGCAGCUGCGGUUCUGCUGUGUCAUGCAAGAAGGAGGCGGCGGCGGCGGCGGCCGGAGCUGGAGGGGGAGGAGGGGAGGAACCUGAUCCUCGGUAGCCAAGGGCUGGAGGCAAACACCGAGCUCCCCCUGAGCCGCCCGGGAGCAGGGAGGGCUCUGCUACCCCGAGGGGCCCUCCCCGCGGGGCAGAGGAGAGGCUCCCUGCUUGCAUAGCUGCUUGGCCAGCUGUGGGGCCAGCUGCCUGUUCCAGAGUCCAAGGUGACCAGACUCCUUCCCUCCCUCUGACCGCCAUGACAAUAGGGGAGAGACAGUGAGUGUGACAAGCAAAUCUUCCCCAGUCGCUGUCACUUCAGCGAUGGGCUGCUCAAGAACUCAGAUGGGCCUUCAUCCAUCACAGCGAGCCUUGGUCCAGGAAGCCUGUGUGGACCUUUGAGACCUAGAGGGAGAAUAUACAAGGCGGAUUUGGUUUACUUGAUGGCUUUAGCUAAGCCCAGCAUUAGUUGGUAGACUACUCCUUGACCUGCAAGCUGUGACUCCCCGGAUACCUGACAUGAAUCAACUACACUGCCUUCAAGGAGGUAGGGGUCCCUUGUGGAUAUCCUUCAUCUGAUGAAGGUAGCCUUCAGGAGGGCCCCAUUUCCCACUUUGGUGGGGGGGCGGAGUCUAAGGAUAUGGUAUGUCAUCUUCCACCUUCAAAGCAAACAUUUCCAAAUGGCUGGCUGUGUGCACUGGUUCUGUUCACAUCUCAGCUCACUGGUCCUGAACUUGUGCACCUGUGGAUCCUUGAUCUUUCAUCUUUGAUCUCUGAACACUGUUUGCCUUUGUUGACCCCAGCCUGUUUACUGAAAUGUGUCUUACCCUUGGCAUCCCUCACCCUGAUACUUUGGAUGUGCCUCCUUCCUGUUUUGGGGGAAUCCUUUCUCUGCCCAGGCUUUCGGCUUUGUAUUGGGCUCUUUACAUCCUCCUAGGCUGUCUCGUUCACCCCUGUGAAUCCACUUAUUCUGUGCUGUAUUAGUUUGCUUCCCUGUUGCUGUGAUAAGACACUGACAAAGAGCGACUUGGGGAGGGAAGGGUUUAUUUCCGUUUACAAAUCACACGCCUUCUCUGGCUCCCUCCAUCGGCUGCCUUAUGGAUAUAGCCCAGGCCCACCUGACUAGGGAAGGCGCUGCCCAGAGUGGACUGAGUCCUGCUACAUCAAUUAGCAGUCACGAAACUGACCUAAAGACAUACCCAAGACCUAAUCUGAUGGAGGCAAGUUUUCAAUUGAGGUUCCCUAUUCUAAAGUAUAUCUAGGUUCAUGCCAAGCUGACACAAGUUAACCAGCAGAGUUGUGUUGAUGAUUUCUAAACCUAUUUCAUGCGGUUACCAGAUCCAGCUGCCUGUCUCUGCUCUGUGAAUCUCCCCAGGCAUCACAAACAUGACUAAGGCAUGUGUCUAUGCCUCCCCUACAGCUUCUCCGUCUUGUCUUCAUGUUGUUUGUUGUCUUAAUGAAUGAAUCAUAAUUCACCCUGUAUAUAUCCCAAACCAAUCCCCAGUCUUGAUGGCUGCCUCUACAAAAUGCUAACACACAAUCGGCCCAACUCUUCAAUAGUCCAUGUUCCCUAGAAUAUGCCUUGUCAGCUUGUGUCAUUUGGUCCUCUUCGCUUUGCCAGCCUCUCCCCUGAGUGAACUGGCUGAUGCCCUCUGUCUUAGUUGUAUUGAUUUUUUUUUUUAUUUUAAUGUGAUUCCUCUUAGAGAAAGGGGAUUUUGAGGAAUCAGAAAGACUUGCUGAUCAUAGUGGAGCACCUUUGAGCCAAACGUGUGCUAAGAAUUCAGGACAGGAGCAGCAUGCCAUAGACAACCUUGCACUAGACAUCUGGCUUCCACACACAGCCCCCUCCUCCAUCCUCAACUCCAAGUUUUCAUAUUCUCUUACUUGCAUUUGUUUAACAUUCACUGUUAUUUUCUUGUCUUCCUUUUUAAAAAUUGCCUAUCUCACGACAUUGUUUUUCUCUUUGCUGUGACCAAAUACCUGAUAAAAAGCAACUGAAGGGAAAACAGGAUACAGCCCAUCAUGACAGGGAAGGCAAGGUAGGAGGACUGUGAGGCAACUGGUCACAUUAUGUCCCCAGUCACCAGAGAGGGAUGAAGGCCGGACCUCUGCUACUUCUCCUUUUUAUUAGCUUCAGGAUCCCCUCCCAUGGGACGGGGCCAUCUGAAUUCAGAGUGCAUCUUCCCAUCCUCAGAUGCACCCAGAGGUGCGUUUCCAUGGUGACUCUAAAUCCAGUCAAGGUGACCGAAGAGUACACUUCAGGGGGGCAGAGAGUUUGUUUAGCACUACAUGCUCAGGACUUAAAACGGUACAUGGAAGAUACCACAAUUUGCUGAUCGAGUGAAGGUUCUUUCUUUUUUUCCUGUUUUUUAAGGUACUGAAAUGUGCAUUGGUCUCUGGAGGAUCCGGUACACGUCCCUCUUCCCCUUGACAUUUUUUACUGAUGACUAAGAUGAUAACGUUGAUGGCAUGCUAAGCAAAUAGACAGAUGACAUACAAGUAGGGGGGUAGUCACUUAAUGGAUUCAGUCAGGAUCCCCUCUACCCCAGUGCUGACGGAUUGUAGUGAAUCAUCUGGCAAUAUGAAGUUAAUGGGUACAAGUAUCAAGCCUCAAAGAUCCCUGAAUCCAAUUAAACAGGUACAGAGUGGGCGAGCGAUGACUUGCAAGCACACACGUCAGGAAGAUUUAGAGCCUCCUGUUGAUUGUAGAUGAAAAGAAGAAAUGAAUGUAACCACACGGAUGCACCUGAAACAUCAUCUCAGUAUGUUUCACAAGAAGGAAAACAAGAGCUGUCUGGGUAGUCUGAUGGCAAGAGGCAGAGGAGGACAGCGGGGCAUGCCGACAAAUGAGGCUGAUUCCUGGGUGUGAGGGAACCGAAACAGAGUCAUGAACAGAGGAACAGCAGAUGGCUGUAAUCAUGAGGAAGUUGCCUCUAAGCUCCUUCUCCAGCACCAUGUCGGGCCAUGAUGAUACUGGACUAAACCUCUGAAACUGAUGUGGCUCUCAGCUCCUGCUCUAAUGCUGUGCCUGCCUGCCGCUGUGUUCUCCGCUAUGAUAUGAUUUCAUGGACUAAACUAACCGUCUGAAACUCAGGAAUGCUCAAGUCCCAGCAGAUGAGCUGAUAAGAAGCAAAUGAACUCAUCUCUUACCAUGUGGAAGGCCCAUGUUCCCUAUAGAGAAUUGCAGAGUGAAACCCGUUACUGGACUCGUCAACAAACUAAAAAACAAAAACAGAAAUGCUGUCAGAGACAGUAGGGAACAGCUACUUAUUCCUAAUCCUUAAUGUUAAUUUCACUAAAUCUUUGUGUUACAAAAAGACAAACAUGAUAUGUACUCACUCAUAUGUGGAUUUUAGACAUAGAGUAAAGAAUUACCAGCCUGCAAUCCACACUGCCAGAGAAGCUAGUAAACAAGGAGGACCCUAAGAGAGACAUACAUGGUCCCCUGGAGAAGGG
ensembl:lncRNA